rnacentral:rRNA from 1 species
GACGAACGCUGGCGGCGUGCCUAACACAUGCAAGUCGAGGGUGUAGAAAUACACACUGGCGCACGGGUGAGUAACGCGUAGGCAAUCUGCCCCUCACACCAACAUAACAGUUCUAACGGACUGCUAAUAUUGGAUGACGUACCGGUAUCGCCUGAUACUGAUAUUAAAGUUACGACGGUGAGGGAUGAGCCUGCGUCCGAUUAGGUAGUUGGCGGGGUAACGGCCCACCAAGCCUACGAUCGGUAGCUGGUCUGAGAGGAUGAUCAGCCACAUUGGAACUGAGAAACGGUCCAGACUCCUACGGGAGGCAGCAGUGAGGAAUAUUGCGCAAUGGACGGAAGUCUGACGCAGCAACGCCGCGUGUGGGAUGACGGAGCUAUGCUUUGUAAACCACUGUAGCAUGGG